rnacentral:rRNA from 1 species
CUGACUGCUAUCGGAUUGAUACUAAACCAUGCGAGUCAUUGUAGCAAUACAAGGCAGACGGCUCAGUAACGCGUAGUCAACCUAACCUAUGGACGGGAAUAACCUCGGGAAACUGAGAAUAAUGCCCGAUAGAGCACUAUGUCUGGAAUGGCUUGUGUUUCAAAUGAUUUAUCGUCAUAGGAUGGGACUGCGGCCUAUCAGUUUGUUGGUGAGGUAAUGGCCCACCAAGACUAUUACAGGUACGGGCUCUGAGAGGAGUAGCCCGGAGAUGGGUACUGAGACACGGACCCAGGCCCUAUGGGGCGCAGCAGGCGAGAAAACUUUGCAAUGUGCGAAAGCACGACAAGGUUGAUCCGAGUGGUUUGUGCUAAACAGACCUUUUGUUAGUCCUAGAAACACUAACGAAUAAGGGGUGGGCAAGUUCUGGUGUCAGCCGCCGCGGUAAAACCAGCACCUCAAGUGGUCAGGAUGAUUAUUGGGCCUAAAGCAUCCGUAGCCGGCUCUAUAAGUUUUCGGUUAAAUCUGUACGCUCAACGUACAGGCUGCCGGGAAUACUGCAGAGCUAGGGAGUGGGAGAGGUAGACGGUACUCGGUAGGAAGGGGUAAAAUCCUUUGAUCUAUUGAUGACCACCUGUGGCGAAGGCGGUCUACCAGAACACGUCCGACGGUGAGGGAUGAAAGCUGGGGGAGCAAACCGGAUUAGAUACCCGGGUAGUCCCAGCUGUAAACUAUGCAAACUCAGUGAUGCAUUGGCUUGUGGCCAAUGCAGUGCUGCGGGGAAGCCGUUAAGUUUGCCGCCUGGGAAGUACGUACGCAAGUAUGAAACUUAAAGGAAUUGGCGGGGGAGCACCACAAGGGGUGAAGCCUGCGGUUCAAUUGGAUUCACG